rnacentral:rRNA from 2 species
GACAGAGGGUGCAAACGUUGUUCGGAAUUACUGGGCGUAAAGCGCGUGUAGGCUGCUCUGCAAGUCGGAUGUGAAAGCCCUGGGCUCAACCUAGGAAGUGCAUUCGAAACUGCAAAGCUUGAGUCCUGGAGAGGAAGGCGGAAUUCUCGGUGUAGAGGUGAAAUUCGUAGAUAUCGAGAGGAACACCGGUGGCGAAGGCGGCCUUCUGGACAGUGACUGACGCUGAGACGCGAAAGCGUGGGGAGCAAACAGG